rnacentral:lncRNA from 1 species
AAAAAGAAAGAAAGAGAAAUAGGGAAAAGUUUUUGGAAUUUGAAUUUAAAUUUGGAAAUUCAAACUUUGAUCAAACUCAAGCAAUCAAAAUAAAUGCACCAGCAUGAAUGCACAAAUAAUUCCUAUGAUGAAUUAAUUGAAUUAAAGAAAAUGAAUUUAAAUGCCUAGAAUUUAAAUAACACCCUAAUUUGAGCAUAUUUUAAUA